rnacentral:tRNA from 1 species
GUCACGGUAGUAGACGACCCGAAGUAUCACCGCUCUCCUAAAGCGGGUGCCGCAGGUUCGGAUCCUGCCGGGGGCAC